ACAUCUAAUCCAUCUGCAAACAAUGAGUAUUGUUCUUCAACUAUGCAAAUAUUCUGCUUUGAACAUGCCAUUUGUCCACCGGUGCAACUGUCCACGGUAGAAUUACUUAUCUUAAAACGUCUGUAAUUUAAUGAGAAAUUAAUCUAAAUACAUUAAAAUACUUGAAUGCAUGUCAUACGAGUGUUUACUUAAUGAAUCUAGAGGUUAUAAGUGUUAAGGUCCCUAUGUAGAGUUAUUAUGACACAUUACAUUUUGUCCACAAAACUGGUGUCCUCCUGGAGCAACGGCAUUAUGUAGAUAUAAAACAGGCAUUAAUGUGACCACCCCAUUACUGAGAGGGGUCCUUCCAGAACCAGGAAGUACAGAAGACAUCACUGGAGCACAUGGACUGUACACAAGAUAUCAGCAGAAGAAAGCAUGCGGGAAAAUCGUUCAGCAAAGCGUGAAGUCUGUGUCGCCAGCAACACAGAAGAAGCUACAAGAGAAAUGGAGAGAGUCAAAGCGGAGAUGUAGGGCAAGGGAAAAAGCCACUAAUGCUGUCCUUGAUCUUACGCCACAAUCACCUCAGGAUCAUGACCAGCCAUUUGAAGAGAUCAAUGACCCCCCAGUGGCAAGGCCAGUUAAAAAAAAGGAAGUGGAGCAAGAGGAAGAGUACACUGUGGGGAAAUUUGUCGUAGUGAAGUACGAGAAUAAGCCAUUUGUGGGCCAAAUCAUCCAAAUAAACGAGGAGCACUUUGCAGUGAAUUGCAUGGAGCAAGUAAGCAACAAAAACAUAUUCAAGUGGCCUGCUAAACAAGACUGUAUUUUGUACAGCAAGGACCAACUUGUUUCUGUCAUCUCUGAGCCAGAGCCCUACCAGCGGGCCGCACAACUCACCAAGUACGACUGGUUGCUUUUCAAUGAGGUGUGAAAAGAACCACAGGAUGUUUCACUUAGGGCUGGAAGCAGUUAUGAUCAAGUUAUGAUCAAGUUAUAUUGUGAUAUACUUUGCAGCUAUAUCGCCCAGGCCUAGUUUCACUGUGUUGUUGUUCAAUGAAUUUUGUAGAUGAAUUCAAAUGUUCAAUGUUCAACGUUAUUUUGUAGAAUCUACAAUGCAGAUGAAUUCAAUUAAAAAUAUAUAUUUUACCUGUGUUUUGACUGAAUUUAAAAUAAUAAAUUUGACUGUACACAACAUAGGCAUACUAGUAUUCUGUUGUCCAACGGUGCAACAAAAUGUCCUGUGGUGCGACAAAUUGAAUUGUGAGGGGAAAAGGUAUUUUAAUGAAAAAUGUAUGUAAAAAGUGUUGGAUAGUAUAACAAUGAUAUCAUCACUAUGCAGCUUUAAGGAUGAAAUGAAGAUUCCUUGAGUUUUAUACAAAUUAUAAUGAAUGUAACCCAGACAUUUGGGUUAAGUCUCUAUGUGUACAUCUUAUAGUAUAUAAAUAACAUAAUUCUGAAUUUGUUGGGGGUAUGUUUGAUGUGGAAAUAUAAUUGGGACAAACUAAUAUGCCUUGUGCUUAUCUAUCUUACCUGUCCAACAUUCUCUGAAUUAAAUAAUGGCAUUCUUUA